rnacentral:rRNA from 1 species
AGAGUUUGAUCCUGGCUCAGGACGAACGCUGGCGGCACGCUUAACACAUGCAAGUCGAACGAGAGAAGAGGAGCUUGCUUUUCUGAUCUAGUGGCGGACGGGUGAGUAACACGUGAGCAAUCUGCCUUUCAGAGGGGGAUACCGAUUGGAAACGAUCGUUAAUACCGCAUAACAUAAUUGAACCGCAUGAUUUGAUUAUCAAAGAUUUAUCGCUGAAAGAUGAGCUCGCGUCUGAUUAGCUAGUUGGUAAGGUAACGGCUUACCAAGGCGACGAUCAGUAGCCGGACUGAGAGGUUGAUCGGCCACAUUGGGACUGAGACACGGCCCAGACUCCUACGGGAGGCAGCAGUGGGGAAUAUUGCACAAUGGAGGAAACUCUGAUGCGGCGAUGCCGCGUGAGGGAAGAAGGUUUUAGGAUUGUAAACCUCUGUCUUCAGGGACGAAAAAAGACGGUACCUGAGGAGGAAGCUCCGGCUAACUACGUGCCAGCAGCCGCGGUAAUACGUAGGGAGCGAGCGUUGUCCGGAAUUACUGGGUGUAAAGGGAGCGUAGGCGGGAUCGCAAGUCAGAUGUGAAAACUAUGGGCUUAACCCAUAAACUGCAUUUGAAACUGUGGUUCUUGAGUGAAGUAGAGGUAAGCGGAAUUCCUAGUGUAGCGGUGAAAUGCGUAGAUAUUAGGAGGAACAUCAGUGGCGAAGGCGGCUUACUGGGCUUUAACUGACGCUGAGGCUCGAAAGCGUGGGGAGCAAACAGGAUUAGAUACCCUGGUAGUCCACGCCGUAAACGAUGAUUACUAGGUGUGGGGGGACUGACCCCUUCCGUGCCGCAGCAAACGCAAUAAGUAAUCCACCUGGGGAGUACGACCGCAAGGUUGAAACUCAAAGGAAUUGACGGGGGCCCGCACAAGCAGUGGAGUAUGUGGAUUAAUUCGAAGCAACGCGAAGAACCUUACCAGGUCUUGACAUCGUAUGCAUAGCUCAGAGAUGAGUGAAAUCUCUUCGGAGACAUAUAGACAGGUGGUGCAUGGUUGUCGUCAGCUCGUGUCGUGAGAUGUUGGGUUAAGUCCCGCAACGAGCGCAACCCUUACUGUUAGUUGCUACGCAAGAGCACUCUAGCAGGACUGCCUUGACAAAACGGAGGAAGGUGGGGAUGACGUCAAAUCAUCAUGCCCCUUAUGACCUGGGCCUCACACGUACUACAAUGGCUGUCAACAGAGGGAAGCAAAGCCGCGAGGUGGAGCGAACCCCUAAAAGCAGUCUUAGUUCGGAUUGUAGGCUGCAACCCGCCUACAUGAAGUCGGAAUUGCUAGUAAUCGCAGAUCAGCAUGCUGCGGUGAAUACGUUCCCGGGCCUUGUACACACCGCCCGUCACGCCAUGGGAGUCGGUAACACCCGAAGCCUGUAGUCUAACCGCAAGGAGGACGCAGUCGAAGGUGGGAUUGAUGACUGGGGUGAAGUCGAAACAAGGUA